GAUUUCUGGCUUGCAACAUUUGGCCGGCCACGGUUUCGUGUGUUAGUGCUUUAUGUUCUGGCCAUCCUUCCCAUCGCUUCUGGUGCCUCUUCAUUGAGGUGUCAGAGGUAUGGGAUCUUUUACUUUGAAAAAAUUAGAGUGUUUCAAGCAGGCUUUAUGCUAUGAAUACAUUAGCAUGGAAUAAUAAUUUAGGACUUCGGUUCUAUUUUGUUGGUUUCUAGGACUGAAGUAAUGAUUGAUAGGGAUAGUUGGGGGUGCUAGUAUUCAGCGGCCAGAGGUGAAAUUCUCGGAUUCGCUGAAGACUAACUUAUGCGAAAGCAUU
rnacentral:rRNA from 1 species